rnacentral:misc_RNA from 1 species
CGCCUUAUACCCAUCCGCCCGUUCUCUUUUAUCGUUUUCCUCUCACCUGCCCAUUCUCCGACGCCCAUCCAUCGUUUAAGACGUGCACUGCCGUACGCAACCCCAAAGGUAACUGCGCAGGCGCGGCACAGCACCUCGUGCACACGCCGCUCUCCACGGCUUCUGGUGCAGUUAUAUGUAUUAUUUGAUUUUUUUUUGUUUUGACCUCCUCCUCCAUCCACCCUCCCUCCCUCCCUUCCCUUUUCCUUCGCCUCUCGAGUUGUGGAUCGCCUGUUCUCCCUCAUCGGACGCCCGAGGAGACGUCGCCACGCGCGGAUGCCCCUUUUGGUUGCUGAGCAGCACCACGCAUGAUUCUUCCGCGCUACGCAUGUGCGCACGCAGACAUGGAUCAGAAGCAGAUGCAGAAGCUGCUCCUUAUGGGGCCUGGCGGAGCCGGAAAGACGUGCAUGCGCAGCAUCAUUUUCGAUAACUACCUCCCUCGCGACGCGCUGCGACUCGGCAUCACCAUCUCGCUCGAUCAGAGCCAGGUGCACAUAUUGCGCAACCUCUUUUUGAACCUGUGGGACUGCGGCGGCCAGCACCGCUACGUCACGGAGUACUUGAAUCGCCAGAAGGAGUACAUCUUCCGCUACGUCGGCGUCAUGCUCUUUGUGUUUGAUAUCAACAGCAUGUGCCGUGACAGCCACGGCGGGAUCGGCGGCCCUGGUGGCGUUGGUGGCGAGGGCAGCAGCGCCACGACGGAUUGGAAGCUGCCGGAGAUGCUGGAGUACUUCCGCGAGGCAAUGCGUUUUAUUCGCCAAUACAGCCCCAAGGCAAAGGUGUUCGUGCUCCUGCACAAGAUCGACCUCAUCCACAAGGACGUCCGCGAAGAGAUUUUCCAGGCACGCAAGCAAGAGAUUCUGAACUGCAUCGACUCUGGUGACGGCAUGGACAUCGAGUUCUUCGGCACCAGCAUUUGGUCCGAUUCGCUUUACCUGGCCUACAGCUCGGUGGUGCGCUCGCUAGUGCCGCACCGCGACGUGCUGGUGGAGACGAUGCGCGGCAUCGCGAUGGCGUGCGACGCCGCCGAGGUGGCGUUGUACGAGCGGAGCACCUUUCUAUGCCUGACACACAUCAACCGCAAGGCCACCGACGAUGGCUCCAAGGCGCUGUUUCUGCAGAGCGACGGGGAGCUGCGCACGACAGAGGUGAGUGAGACGGUGAAGCACUUCAAGCUGAGCUGCAUGAACAACACGACCAGUCUUGGCGGACUGAGCAUCGCUACAGAGACGUUCACGGCGCUCUUGUGCCCGUUUACGGAGUGCACGCACGUGCUGGUCGUGUCGGUAGACCCGAAAGUGAACGUGGAGCUGCAUCGCCUCAACGUGAACGCCGCACGACGACGUUUUGAGCAGUUCCUGGACUCUGACGAGCCCACCGCGUGUGCAAUGCGCGAAGUUCUGUAAGAGGGGGCACCGAAGCGCACUAGAGAGAGAGGAGGGAGGCUGGUGCGUAUGUGUACGUGGCCAUGAUGCCCUCUCCCCUCUUCUCUCUUCUGUCUCUGCACCUCCUACGUCUUUACCGCCUUUCCUCUUCUCCAUCUUCCGUACCACUGCUACUCUUUUCCACUCCCUCGUGGUUUCUUCCCGGAGUCGUCCUGACAGGGCCAAGGGAGAGUCGCUCUCGCCUGCCCCCACCCCCUCUCCCAUCUUCUCCUGUUUAAGUGUGCGUGCCUGCCCGCUGUUGUUCUCGUCGGUCGUUGUUGUGUGCUGUACGUAUGUGCGUGUGCGUGUGUGAGAUGAGGGCGGAGCGCUCCCCCUCCCCCUAUCACCUCCACUUUUCCUCUUUUUGUAAAUCGUUUCGCUCUUUAUUUGUGUGCGUGUGGUGGUGAAGGGGGCCUGUCGCUGUGCGCCUCCCCCCCCCCCCUCACUGCCCGCCUUCUCUCAGCCUGCCUCCGCUCGGCGUUGCGCCGCGCAGGGGAGAACGUGCAAAACGGCGGACGAAGUCUGCACGAAAGAACGAAAAACAAAAUAGACACGGGAAGUCGAACGGUCGGAAGAGGGCGUGCAGGUGGCGUACUCUCGGCGCAGGGGAGCACGUGCACACUCGGUACACCCGUGGCUGGCGUGGUCGGUUUGUACGGCUCUCUUGCUAGUGCCACGCAUGCAAUUCACUGCUGCCUUCAGUCAUUGCCAAGAGGCUUUAGCUGCACGGCGCAGCUGUACCGGGGCGAGCAUAUAUAUGCAUGUAUGUGUGUCGGUUUGGGUGUGUCUGACGACCUUGCGCCUCUUCGCCCUCCCUCGACCCCCUGCAAGUCGUCAUCUCCUUUGAGGUCCCGCCGACUCGGCCCUUUCAUGGGGCCACGCGAUCGGCGUCCCGGUUGCGUGAGGGGCUCCCUCUUCUUUUUCUCCCUCCGCUCUGCCGCCGCCGCAUCUCGGCUUCCUCGCUACUUCGCGCCCCUCACCCUUUUGUUUCCCUUUUCCCUUUUCCGUCUUCCCACCGGCACGCUUUUCCUCGGGUGUGCGUGUGUAACGCGCCUCCCUUCGAACGGCGCAGCAAC